rnacentral:tRNA from 1 species
UCCGGGGUAGUUCAACGGUAGAACACUCGGCUGUCACCGAGAGGGUGCUGGUUCGAGUCCAGCCUCCGGAC